AGGACGAACGCUGGCGGCGUGCCUAAUACAUGCAAGUCGAGCGGAGCUAGUCUUUUCUUCGGRAAAGAUGAUGCUUAGCGGCGGACGGGUGAGUAACACGUAGGUAACCUGCCCAUAAGACUGGGAUAACAUUCGGAAACGGAUGCUAAUACCAGAUAAUCAAGUUACUCGCAUGAGAGACUUGGGAAAGGCGGAGCAAUCUGUCACUUAUGGAUGGACCUGCGGUGCAUUAGCUAGUUGGUGAGGUAACGGCUCACCAAGGCGACGAUGCAUAGCCGACCUGAGAGGGUGAUCGGCCACACUGGGACUGAGACACGGCCCAGACUGCUACGGGAGGCAGCAGUAGGGCAUGUUSCACAAUGGACGAAAGUCUGAUGGAGCAACGCCGCGUGAGUGAUGAAGGCCUUCGGGUCGUAAAGCUCUGUUGCCAGGGAAGAACGCUCAGGAGAGUAACUGCUCCUGAGGUGACGGUACCUGAGAAGAAAGCCCGGGUAACUACGUGCCAGCAGCCGCGGUAAUACGUAGGGGGCAAGCGUUGUCCGGAAUUAUUGGGCGUAAAGCGCGCGCAGGCGGUUCAUUAAGUCUGGUGUUUAAGGCAAUGGCUCAACCAUUGUUCGCACCGGAAACUGGUGGACUUGAGUGUAGGAGAGGAAAGUGGAAUUCCACGUGUAGCGGUGAAAUGCGUAGAGAUGUGGAGGAACACCAGUGGCGAAGGCGACUUUCUGGCCUAUAACUGACGCUGAGGCGCGAAAGCGUGGGGAGCAAACAGGAUUAGAU
rnacentral:rRNA from 1 species